UGCCAAUAGUCCAUAUACCAGGAGCAUUCU
rnacentral:piRNA from 1 species